CGUUAUUGGUCAAAGCCGACAGAUUAUAUUCCCUGCUUCACUAGACCAGAAGUGCUACGCUUGUGACCGGGUUGACGAUAAUUUACGUCUUGUAAGCGUGUGUGGUCGGAUGUGCUCGAUAAAAUUCAAAACAAAAUUGUGAUACUUAAAUGUCUACUGGCAAUUUAUAGUUACGGCAGUUACAUGAAUUGUUCCUGUGAACACGACUCUAUUCCAGGAAGUGAACAUUGGUGAACGUUAAUUAUUAGCCCAUUUGUCGCUUCCUCGUGUUGCCGGGAAGGAAGACCCACUGGUUGAUUUCGCUCCUGUUUAUAAGUUCCCUGCAGCACAAACCAAAUGGGAGAAGUUGACGCCUGUGAAC